rnacentral:rRNA from 1 species
AUUGAACGCUGGCGGAAUGCUUUACACAUGCAAGUCGAACGGCAGCACGGGGCAACCUGGUGGCGAGUGGCGAACGGGUGAGUAAUACAUCGGAACGUGCCCAGUCGUGGGGGAUAACGUAGCGAAAGUUACGCUAAUACCGCAUACGAUCUAUGGAUGAAAGCGGGGGAUCGCAAGACCUCGCGCGAUUGGAGCGGCCGAUGUCAGAUUAGGUAGUUGGUGGGGUAAAGGCCUACCAAGCCGACGAUCUGUAGCUGGUCUGAGAGGACGACCAGCCACACUGGGACUGGGACACGGCCCAGACUCCUACGGGAGGCAGCAGUGGGGAAUUUUGGACAAUGGGCGCAAGCCUGAUCCAGCCAUUCCGCGUGCAGGAUGAAGGCCUUCGGGUUGUAAACUGCUUUUGUACGGAACGAAAAGGCUCUGGUUAAUACCUGGGGCUCAUGACGGUACCGUAAGAAUAAGCACCGGCUAACUACGUGCCAGCCGCCGCCGUAAUAC